AUUGAACGCUGGCGGCGUGCUUAACACAUGCAAGUCGAGCGAUGAAGCACCUUCGGGUGUGGAUUAGCGGCGAACGGGUGAGGAACACGUGAGGAAUCUGCCUUCCACUCUGGGAUAACUCCGGGAAACCGGGGCUAAUACCGGAUAUUUUCAACUGGCGGCAUCGCCGGUUGAAGAAAGUUUUUCGGUGGAAGAUGACCUCGCGGCCUAUCAGCUUGUUGGUGAGGUAAAGGCUCACCAAGGCGACGACGGGUAGCUGGUCUGAGAGGAUGAUCAGCCACAUGGGGACUGAGACACGGCCCUAACACCUACGGGUGGCAGCAGUUGGGAAUAUUGCGCAAUGGACGACAGUCUGACGCAGCGACGCCGCGUGAAGGAUGAAGGCUUUCGGGUCGUAACUUCUUUUGUAAGGGACGAUUGUGACGGUACCUUACGAAUAAGGGCCUGCUAACUACGUGCCAGCCGCCGCCGUAA
rnacentral:rRNA from 1 species